rnacentral:ribozyme from 1 species
UGACCCUGUAUGCCCCUCCAUCAUUAUUUUGUUGUACGUUUCCGUCAUCCAAUACACCACCACAUCGUAUCAUCAUCUUUUACCAUC